UGCUUCCUUUGGCUUCUAGCGCACAUAAAUG
rnacentral:piRNA from 1 species